rnacentral:rRNA from 1 species
UGGGGAAUUUUGGACAAUGGGGGAAACCCUGAUCCAGCCAUCCCGCGUGUGCGAUGAAGGCCUUCGGGUUGUAAAGCACUUUUGGCAGGAAAGAAACGUCAUGGGUUAAUACCCCGUGAAACUGACGGUACCUGCAGAAUAAGCACCGGCUAACUACGUGCCAGCAGCCGCGGUAAUACGUAGGGUGCAAGCGUUAAUCGGAAUUACUGGGCGUAAAGCGAGCGCAGGCGGUUCGGAAAGAAAGAUGUGAAAUCCCAGAGCUCAACUUUGGAACUGCAUUUUUAACUACCGCGCCAGAGUGUGUCAGAGGGAAGUGGAAUUCCGCGUGUAGCAGUGAAAUGCGUAGAUAUGCGAAGGAACACCUAUAGCGAAGGCAGCCUCCUGGGAUAACACUGACGCUCAUGCACGAAAGCGUGGGGAGCAAACAGG